rnacentral:lncRNA from 1 species
GAGUAUGGAGAAGGAAGAAGACGUCAGGAGCUGUUGAAGAGAUCAACGAGAUUUUUUGUCAGAUUUUCUGUCAAGGUAUUUUUUCUUUCAAUCAGAUCAAUAUUGUUUGUGAUUGUGGUUGAGACAUCAUGAGCAGCGAGAUGAAGAUCGAUUUUGAAAAAUUUGACAGACAAAAAAACUUCUUGAUAUGAAAAAUUAGAGUGGAGGAUCUGUUGGUUCAACAGGAGCUACAUCUAAUCUCGGAGAAAAAGUCAGAGGGAAUAACA